AAUAAAUGCAGUUUUACACUGUUCAUGUCUAACAUUUAAUCGUUCGUCUUAUUCGAAAAAAAUUUAUGAUUAGUAAUUUUAUUAUUAUUAGAUGAUAAAACUUUUUUUUAAUUUUUUUAUAUUUUUUUAAAUAAGACGGACGAUCAAACGUUGAAUACGGAUACCCACAGCCGCACUUAUU
rfam:Oryza punctata chromosome 1, whole genome shotgun sequence.